GUUUGUCCCAAAGGACUCAGAAGGGUCCUGGUGGCCCAGCUAUGGCUAUCCAUCCUGUAGACUCCCACCCUCUGGUAACUUCCUGCCUGGCCAAGCCUCAGAUGCUUCAAAUGGGGCUGGAGAAUAGAGCCAUUACCUGCCUGGCUCCUCACCCCCAGUUCAGCCCCUGGUUUAUUCCCAUCCAGCAAGAGCCAGAAGAGCCCACCAGCCUGAAGAGUGGGAGUAGCAGGCUGCAGAGUCCUACUUCUCCACUUGCAGCACAGACCCAACCUGCAGCCUCUCGGUCGGGAAGGACAGAAGGAUGGUGGAGAUGUGUGAAGGAGAUAAAGAGAAGUGAGGAGAGUCAGAGGGCUCCACUCCACACUGUCCUGAGCAUCCUUUGCGUGCAGGGGUGGAUGGAUGAGGUCUCCUCUGCCGUGGGUCCAUCAUCGACAGAAUGGAACAGACAUAGGAUGUGAGAAGACCAGGAUCCCAAGAAGGGAGGACGGGAUGAAGGCAGGGCAGGUGCCACUCCCAUCUGUGAAUGUCACAGACACAACAAGCUCUGUCCUGUCAUUCUACCCAAUCCAAGGUCAAGGUGAAACAGCGCUGCACUUGAUAGUGGACAGGAGGAGGGCCAUGCUGGCCCCUGUCACCUCCUGCAGAAAGCUGCUGGCAGGAGUAGUCACUCUGUCACCCUGCUGCCCAGCAGCUGGGCAGCCCUGUUAUAUCACAGCCCACACCCUCUACCUGUCACCUGCCCAAACAACACUCCUGGCCCCAGCCAGCACAGCUGUGAUGCAUGGUGAGUAUAUGACUGUAAUCCCAUGUGGCCUCUUCCAGCUGGCGGGCCCUGUCUUGCCCUGGUACCUCUGGCUCCUGAUCUUUCCAAUGUCAUUACCAAACUGGUACAUGCAGCCUCACUGGCUCCAAAGAAUAGCAGCUCCUAGUGUUUGGCCCAGGCCUCCAGUUAAACUCUGCUGGCCAGGGACCAGGGAACUUUGGAAGCUGCUUCAGAAUAUCAUGGUUAAGUGAUGCCCAGGGGCUGUGUAGGGGUAGGUGCCAAUCUGAGAAUCAGAUGACUUUGCCACUGACUCUUGAAGACUUGGGGCACAUUUCCUAGGGUCUUUAGCAUCUGGGGAAUGAGGAUAAUAAGAAUUGCCCAUGAAAUAAAGUCAUGUGUGUGAGGCUCUCA
rnacentral:lncRNA from 1 species